rnacentral:rRNA from 1 species
GUAGGGACCGAGCGGUUGUCCGGAUUCAUUGGGCGUAAAGAGCUCGUAGGCGGCCACUCAAGUCGAAUGUGAAACCUCGAGGCUCAACCUCGAGCCUGCAUUCGAUACUGGGCGGCUAGAGUCUGGUAGGGGGAUCUGGAAUUCCUGGUGUAGCGGUGGAAUGCGCAGAUAUCAGGAGGAACACCGGUGGCGAAGGCGGGAUCCUGGGCCAGUACUGACGCUGAGGAGCGAAAGCGUGGGAGCAAACAGGAUUAGAUACCCUGGUAGUCCACGCCGUAAACGAUGGGCGCUAGGUGUGGGAGGUCAUCGACUCCUUCCGUGCCGCAGCUAACGCAUUAAGCGCCCCGCCUGGGGAGUACGGCCGCAAGGCUA